rnacentral:misc_RNA from 1 species
GAUUUUUCUGCUCAACAGUAAUUAAUGAAUUAUUGCAUUAUGAAACAUCCAUAUAAACUGUAAGUAGCAAUUGGGAAAUCUGAUAUUUUGUUAUGGAACCUUGCCAGUGUUUUGGAAGUAAAAAUGUUAGUAACAUAUAGCAAUACAUUAUGGUGAUCUAUAGAAUCGACUGGACUUAAUCAAGAUACAAACUUCUGGAAUUUCAUUUCUCAUUGAUUCAAUUGUGGACUAAUUUGCUGCUUAUGUUGUUGCAGAGGCAAGAAGAAUUGAUGUAUAUAAUCUUGUAUGACAUCCUUUUUAGCCAGGAGGUUUUGUUAGCUGGUGAUGCAGAAAAGUUUCUACUGCAGAAAAAGGAUGUGUUGCAGGCAGCACUUGCCAAGCUUUUAGUUCGAAAGAAAGUAAAACAUUUCUCAGAUUUGAUGACUUCUUAUAAAAUUUCUGACCUUCCGAAACCCCGUUAUGCUCGUGUAAAUACUCUGAAAAUGGACGUAGAGUCUGCCCUAGUCGAAUUUAAGAAAC